AUGUGGCCUGCACCAGUGCUUCUGCUCGUCCAGUCGGCUCUGCUGAUUCAAGGAUCUUCCGCCCAGGAUUUGUUGACCCAGACGGACAAAAUCAAGUAUGUCAGUCUUGGUGGGACGGUGACCAUCAGCGCCAAAGGGAGUUCAAAUAUUGGUGCUUAUCUCAGUUGGUACCAAGUGAAACCUGGACAGGUUCCUAAACCUCUGAUCUAUUAUGUAUCACGUCUUUCUUCUGGAACACGUGCAUCAAAUAUUUCUUCUGGAACAGCAUCUCGAUUCAGUGGCACACAAUCUGGCUCUGACUACACUCUGACUAUCAGUGGUGUUCAGGCAGAAGAUGUCGCUGAUUACUACUGUCUUGCCGCUUUUGGAUCUGGAACGUCUACACGGUGA